AAAUAGCUCGGUUCCAGGUGGGUUCAACCCGUGGGGUUUCGAUGGGUUCAAUCCAUGGAAUUGGGCUAGCGUGAACACCUUCCGCCGCCGCCUACCCUCUUGAGGUGCUCCUCCGGCGGUGGUAUCCUCUUUCCGCCUCGUCGUCAAGUGUCACCGACUCCCCGCCAUCGUCUUCCUUCCGAUUUGCUCGCCGCCGAUGUUCCCCAGGCUUUUCUCCACCCACUGGAGACAGCGGGCCUAGGUGCUCGUCCGUGGGGUACGGGCGCGUCGGGAGGAGACCGGCCCGUUCCGUAUCAGGCCGGACGACAAGACGCUGUACUUCAACCCCAAUUCCUGCAAAAAGGCGGCCAAUUUGCUCUUCUUGGACUCGCCGACCGGCGUGGGGUUCUCGAACUCAACAGUCCACCACAUCUUUCUCCUACUACAUCCAAUUGGUGAGUAAGGUCAGGUUUUAUCGAGAAACAUGUCAUUACAGAUGGGGGAUAGCUCAGAUGUUGUUGAAUCGGCGGGUGAUUUUUCAGAGACACCUCGUAGCAAAAAGUCCAUAGCUUGGCAGCAUUUUGAGGAAGAGUUGGUAAUGGUAAAUAAUGUGCCGAUGGCUGUCUGCAAAUACUGUGGUCUAAAGAUGAAAGCUACUGCAAGGUCUGGCACUAGUAGUUUCAGAAACCACAUUGGGGAGUCAUGUCCUAAAAUUGGAGAUGUUGAGAGACGCAAAUUCUUAGCAGCAAUAAAGAAACAAUCAACAGAUGCGUUCGUGUUCGAUCCAGAAAAAACACGCGAGCUUAUUGCCAUCUUCUGUAUAGAUGGUGAGAUACCUUUCAACAAGUUCAACAAUCCAUAUUUCCAAGAGUUGAUGGCCUCAAUGCAGCCUACCUUUUCUGUCCCUGGUCAUCAUGUUGUUAGAGAUGAUUGCAUUAGAUUGUAUGAGAACAUGAAGAAUGAUUUGCUUAAGGAAUUUGAGAAUCUUGAUUCCCGUGUCUGCCUCACUUCCAAUCUGUGGACUUCAAAUUAGAAGCUGAGAUAUAUGUGUGUAACAGCACAUUACAUAGAUGCAAACUCUAAGCUUCAGAAAAAGAUCAUUUCUUUCAAAAAUGUCAAGUAUCCGCAUACUGGUUUAGCUAUUGAAGAUGCACUUUCAACAUCAAUUGCAGAUUGGGGCAUCAAAAGGAAGUUGCUCACAAUCACUUUGGACAAUGCAUCUAACAACACCAAGACAGUGACAUCAUACUUACAGAAUGAAGAUCAUGGUCUUUUGUUAGAUGGAGUAGACUUUCAUGUGAGGUGUUCUGCACAUAUUCUGAAUAUUCUAGUCCAAGACGGAUUAGUUCAUGUUAAGGAAGCAAUAAAGAAAAUCAGGGACUUGUAUAGACAUAUUGAAACUUCACCUUCUCGCCUGCAAACAUUCAAUGCAAUGGCUGAUCUCAAUGGACUCCCAAAGAAGGCUGGUUUAACUCUUGAUCUUCCACGUCGCUGGAAUUCUAUCUUUGACAUGAUCAAUGAAGCUCAUCCGUACAAAGUUGUUUUGAAUAGUUAUGCAAAUCAAACUAAGGAAGUGCCUGCACCAACUGAAGAAGAAUGGGCAGCUGCAAUGUCAAUUGGGAAAGUCCUUAAAGCACUUGAAGAGGCUAUAGUAUCAACCGAUAGGAAACCAUCAGCCCAUAUGUUUUUGAAUAUGGUGUUGUGUAUAAAAAAUGCUUUACUAGAUGUGGCAUGGCAUACCGAUCAUGUGUUAAACACUCUGGCUGAAAGUAUGUCUAUAAAAUUCAGCCAAGUACUGGACGGAGGCUUCAGUGAACACGGCACUUGUGAUUGCUGCUAUUCUGGAUCCAACACAAAAAAUGGAUUAUGUGGAAUUCUUUUAUACAAGAAUGUGUUUGAGCGAAGAUGUCAUUGAAGACAACAUAGCAUUUACAAAAAAGACAUUGAAGCGGUACUAUUAUUUCUAUGCAGAAAAUGUGAAGAGAAAUGUUGAGAAGUCAAUAUUCUCGUCAAUCGGAGAGUUUGUUGGGUUCAGCGGUUCUAGGCAAAAGGAAGCUUGAUGAGGAAUUUGCAAGGUACAAGGCAAUGAGAAGAGCGAGGAAGGAGCCCGUUUCAGAACUUGAUGCUUAUCUUGAGGAACCAGCUUUGCUCAUUGUGAAGGACUUCGAUGUCUUGGGAUUUUGGGAACAAAACACGAUAAAAUACCCUGUACUCGCAGCAAUGGCCAGAGACUUCCUCGCAAUACCUCUAAGUAUUGUUUCGUCGGAAUCGACAUUCAGUCUUAAUGGUCGCAUCCUUGAGGACACGCGAGCCUCUCUAAAGCCUUACAGUCUUGAGGCCCUUGUAUGUGGAAAGGAUUGACUGAUCAAAGUCAAACAAAAGUAGCGUCGGUGAGUGAGAUGGCCUGACAAUGUUUAACAGUGGGCUUGUGGAUAUCUAUAUGAUUCAAGGUAGUCCACCACCAAUCCUCAUCUGACUCCUCCGUUGGUGGCGACUGCCUGUUGUGAACACGUGGCUCGACUGGACAUCCGAAUUGAAGGCUCAGCUUUUGUUGUGUGUGAACUUGAGAAGUUGCUGCAUGUUGUCAUCUGUGAACUUAUCUUCAUGUGUCACUGUGCUUGGCUUUGUGUAAGAACGGACCAGUACUUGUCUCAUCAGUUACAUCUAGUGCAUUCAGUUACUCUUCUUCGACUUUUGAACAUGUCUCUCUGUCUGCUUCUGUUACUCCUUUUCUGGUUCACACUCUAAUUCAGCAGUGAAUAUUCUACAAUGUUCUGUGUAAAGGAGUGGGAGCAAUAUUCUGUAAUGCUUCGUG